UACGUAGGGACCGAGCGUUGUCCGGAAUCAUUGGGCGUAAAGAGCGUGUAGGCGGCCUGGUAAGUCCGCUGUGAAAGUCCAGGGCUCAACCCUGGAAUGCCGGUGGAAACUGUCAGGCUCGAGUCCGGAAGAGGCGAGUGGAAUUCCUGGUGUAGCGGUGAAAUGCGCAGAUAUCAGGAGGAACACCAAUGGCGAAAGGCAGCUCGCUGGGACGGUACUGACGCUGAGGAACGAAAGCGUGGGGAGCGAACAGG
rnacentral:rRNA from 1 species